rnacentral:tRNA from 1 species
UGGCUCAGUGGUAAAGCGCUUGCCUUGCAUGCAUGAGGCCCUGGGUUCGAUUCCCCAG